GCAGUAGCCGCGGUAACACGAAGGGUGCAAGUGUUAAUCGGAAUUACUGGGCGUAAAGCGUGCGUAGGCGGUUUGUUAAGUCUGCUGUGAAAUCCCCGGGCUCAACCUGGGAAUGGCAGUGGAUACUGGCAAGCUAGAGUGUGUCAGAGGAUGGUGGAAUUCCCGGUGUAGCGGUGAAAUGCGUAGAGAUCGGGAGGAACAUCAGUGGCGAAGGCGGCCAUCUGGGACAACACUGACGCUGAGGCACGAAAGCGUGGGGAGCAAACAGGAUUAGAGACCCCCGUAGUCCCUGUCUCUUAUAC
rnacentral:rRNA from 1 species